rnacentral:rRNA from 1 species
CCUACGGGAGGCAGCAGUGGGGAAUAUUGCACAAUGGGGGAAACCCUGAUGCAGCGACGCCGCGUGAGUGAAGAAGUAUUUCGGUACGUAAAGCUCUAUCAGCCGGGAAGAAAAUGACGGUACCUGACUAAGAAGCGCCGGCUAACUAAGUGCAAGCAUCCGCGGUAAUACGUAGGGCGCAAGCGUUAAUCGGAUUUACUGGGUGAAAAGGGAGCGUAGACGGAAGCGCAAGUCGGAGGUGAAGUCGCAUGGCUUAACCAUGGAACUGCUUUGGAAACUGUGCAGCUGGAGUGCAGGAGAGGUAAGCGGAAUUCCUAGUGUAGCGGUGAAAUGCGUAGAUAUGAGGAGGAACACCAGUGGCGAAGGCGGAUUACUGGACUGUAACUGACGUUGAGGCUCGAAAGCGUGGGGAGCAAACAGGAUAGAUACCCUAGUAGUC